ACGUCAAGUCAUCAUGGCCCUUACGGUUUGGGCUACACACGUGCUACAAUGGCGGUGACAGUGGGCAGCCACUCAGUAAUGAGGAGCUAAUCCCAAAAAGCCGUCUCAGUUCGGAUUGAGCUCUGCAACUCGAGCUCAUGAAGUCGGAAUCGCUAGUAAUCGCGGAUCAGCACGCCGCGGUGAAUACGUUCCCGGGCCUU
rnacentral:rRNA from 1 species